AGAUUGAACGCUGGCGGCAUGCCUUACACAUGCAAGUCGAACGGCAGCGCGGGGCAACCUGGCGGCGAGUGGCGAACGGGUGAGUAAUAUAUCGGAACGUACCCUGGAGUGGGGGAUAACGUAGCGAAAGUUACGCUAAUACCGCAUACGAUCUAAGGAUGAAAGUGGGGGAUUCGCAAGAACCUCAUGCUCCUGGAGCGGCCGAUAUCUGAUUAGCUAGUUGGUGGGGUAAAGGCCUACCAAGGCAUCGAUCAGUAGCUGGUCUGAGAGGACGACCAGCCACACUGGAACUGAGACACGGCCCAGACUCCUACGGGAGCAGCAGUGGGAAUUUUGGACAAUGGGCGAAAGCCUGAUCCAGCAAUGCCGCGUGAGUGAAGAGGCCUUCGGUGUAAGCUCUUUGUCAGGAAGAAACGGUGAGGCUAAGUAUCCUUGACUAAUGACGGUACCUAGAAGAAUAAGCACGGACUAACUACGUGACCAGCAGCCUAACG
rnacentral:rRNA from 1 species